AUACGGAGGGUGCAAGCGUUACUCGGAAUCACUGGGCGUAAAGCGCGCGCAGGCGGCUAUUUAAGUUGGAUGUGAAAGCCUACGGCUCAACCGUAGAACUGCAUCCAAAACUAUUUAGCUAGAGUGUGAGAGAGGAAGAUGGAAUUAGUUGUGUAGGGGUAAAAUCCGUAGAGAUAACUAGGAAUACCAAAAGCGAAGGCAAUCUUCUGGAACACUACUGACGCUGAGGCGCGAAAGCGUGGGGAGCAAACAGGAUUAGAAACCCGUGUAGUCCC
rnacentral:rRNA from 1 species